rnacentral:lncRNA from 1 species
UUUAUCUUAAUCGUAUUUAGGCCUGUCGCGAUAAUCAAUAAAUCGCCUUAUCGCUCGGUAAAUAAAAACGAGGUCGGUCAUUUUGCCAGCCUCGAUAAUUGACGUGCGUUUGUUUUCCUCCUCUCUCGCUACCAAACACGCUGGAUGAGAGAAGAGGUCUCACUCUGCGCAUUUUCUCGGCACCUGGGGGCGUUGGCUGUAUAGCGGAAUGAACGGAGUUAGUGAACCCUCCUGUCAGUCAUUCAGUAUCUUUGUUACGAGGGGGCGCGCGCGCAGGUACACGUAGGCGCGCACAGGCACACAGACACAGACUUUUGGAUACAGUGCUGCAAGUGAGCGUCGUGAGUGAAAAGCAAGCAAACAGAAUGAACACGACAGCUUUGGUGUCUAAACCGAACGCAACAGCCCAAGUGUGGGAAUAUUUCGGCUUUAAACCAGUUUUGUUUUCGUCAACCACAAAACUCCACGUGUGUGCGCGCGCGCGUGUGUC